UCCAAUAUAUCUAUCUUGGAUGAUUAUCUAAUUUAAUUUAUUCUGACGAGUACACUUGAAUAUUAAAGUAAUUAAUGCUGAAGAAAUUAUACAUGGAAAACGCUAUGAGUGAUAUGUGAUAUAUUAAAUUUAAAAAAGCGUAUAAGAAGACAUUUAAAAAAUAUUUAUAUAAAUAUUUAUAUUUCAUGCAUAUAUCAGAAUCUCAUCUCAUAAAUUGUGUGUUACAACAAUCUUCGAAAAUCUUAUUUUCCUUUUUAUUUAAAAAAAAAAAACAUCUUUUUAUAACAGAUAAUUAUUAAAAUUUUAUAUCUACUUUAAUUUCGAAAGGAAUAAGAUUAAUGGCAUAAUUUUUAAAUGUAUUUCCUCAUACUAAUCGAAUUCUAAAUAGAAUGUUAAAAGAAAGUUAUUUUGACGUUAGGUAAACAAUGUUUAAUGUUGCAGUCACAUGUAGCUAAUAAUAUCUAAAUAUGAUUUUAACAUAAUUAUUAAUUUGGUCUAUUACAUCAAAAAUAUUCAUUGAUAGUGUGGCAAUACAUUUAAAACAAAUAUAUUUAAAAAAAGUUUACUUUACGAUGUUAUUAAUUUUAUUACGAAGUAAAGGCGAGCAUUUCAUUAUUAUUCUUUUUUAAUUUAUUAGGUCAGUAUUAAUUAUUUUGUUAGAUAACGAAAGAAUAUGCGGUUUUCAACUGGAGUUAGACAAAUUUAAUCCUGUGCGCGCGGAAGAAGUCUGUAGUAUGCGAAUUGAGAGCGGAGAUAACAGAGAAUAAGCUUAAUUUUCGUCGAGUUAUUAGAGCACGAGAAGAGAAAGAGGGGAAUUGAGUUAGUCGAGGGCGUAUGCCGCGAGGAUUAUUGUACGGCCUGUAAAAUCCGGACUGGGCCGCGCGAUCAAAUAUUUAGGAAGAAUUUUCCAGGCAUAUCAGACUGUAAGAAGAGGAGAAGAGAGAAAGAAAGAGACAGAAAGGGUAAGAACGAGAGCGUAUGUGUCCUGAAUGUACUUUAUAUAUAGCAGAGCUCCUUGUAGCUGCUCACUUCAAAAAGCCUGGGCAGCGAGUCCACGGAAAAGUCUGUGAAACUUUGAACAGCGUCUUAAAUACUUAACUCUCGCCCGCAUUGGUUCUAAACUUAGCAAUGGAAUUACCGUAACUCCUUCAGUUACAAAUAGUCCUCAUAUUUGAGGUCGUAAUAUCGUAACUUAUUGUGAUGAAUGCGGACAAUAAGCUUGGAAAUAUUAAUAUAAGUCGCUCAAAUAUUCUUAAUUGAUUUAUUCAAGGCUGUUGCUUUUGAAAGAUAAAAAGAUGCUUUUAUCCUUGAUUUUAACUUUAGUUAUUUGUUAGAACUUAUUUAAAAGACAAACUUUUUUAAUUUUUUGAUUUUACAAAUUCUACUUUUCGUUAGAUAGCAUAUUAAGUGACCUAAUAGCGAUGAAUAAUAAUAUCUUAAAAAUUUUGAUCGGUGAGUUUUAUAACUUUGAAGAAAACAAUAUUUUUUGAUCGAUUUCAUUGGUCAAUUUAUUAUUCUUUAUUUAUUUUUGAGCAGUAAAAAUUGUACAUACACAUACAGAUUUUUCUGAAAUAUAACCUAAGUAUAUAGAUAUUUGGUUUAUACUUUAUUUUUGCUAAACAUGUUAUGUUAAUUUGUUAUGUUAACACAGAAAGGAAGAUUUUUUAAAUUUAAUAAACCGUUUUGUUCGUCUGUUUCAAAGCAUUUAUUAAAAAACUAAAGAAAUAUGUCUUGAAAUAGUCGAACAAAACUGUUUAUUAAGUCUAAAGAAGUCUUCCUUUCUGUGUAUAUUUAAAUAUGCAAUCUAUAUUAUUAGAAAAUUAUUUGAUUAGUUUUUAUCCAACUAAAUUGUAAUUGGUAGCAUCGAGAAAAUGGGUCGCAAAUAAAUUUGUGGAAAAUUUCUACUAAAAUGAUCAGUUGCUGAUAGAUGAAUCACACUUGCGGCCAUUUUCUUUACUAAAACGAAAAUUUACGUUUAAUAGACGAAAGACGAUAGUAACGAAUAGGUUAAUUUCGGCGCUAAGUAAAAUAUUCACGUGGAAGAGAAUGUUUUAAUAUUACACAUAUAAUUGACCGCAACUGUAAAUGUCAGUUGUAAUGUUUCCUAUAGUACGAAAAGUGGAUUUACGAUGCCCGAAUUAAUUCAAAUUAUAAUUUACGUACGUUUCGAACUGUAUUAUGUUAAACAAUAUUGAUUGCUGCUUAAACGUUAAAUGAUUAAAUCAAUAUAUAGAAACGUUUAUUCAAAUGAUGAUAAUUCAGACCACACUGAAUCAAAGUAAACACAUUUUCCAAGCUUACGAUUACAUAAUGCUAUAGGUAUUAUUCACGUUAAUAAUUCUAAUCUUUCGAAACCAAUUAAUAAGUGAAUUUUAUUUUAUGAUUUUUAUUAAAGAACAUUUAGAGAGAGUCAACUUUUUCUCUAAAUUGCAAUUAGUGUAUUUUUACUGAUUUGCAGUGGUAUGUUUAUAAUUGUGAUAAUUAGUGAGUAUCCACUGAUUUUUAAUGAUUUUUACUUCAGAAUUAAUAUAUAAUCACUGAAAGAUUAGUGUAUUUAUUUAACUAAUUGACGAGUUAUAAGUAUAUCACUGAAAUCAGUGUAUUUUCACUGAUUGUAAUUUGGAGAGUUCUAUGUAACAGAGCACUAAUAGUUUCAUAUGUCCUAAACUUUAAUUUUAAUUUUUAUACAAAUAUGUUGAUAAAAAGAAGAUAAAAAUAAAUUUGUAUUCAUAAAACUAUGUUAGUAUGAUGCUAAUGAAGUUGGCCGAAUUACGUUUAAAACAGACCGUUGUAAAUAAUUAUCCAAAGAUUUGUUUUUAAAUUAAAUGACAAAUUUUGUCAGUGAUAUUAGGAAAAAUAAAGAGAGAGGAAGGAAAUCAAAUUAUUUAUGCUUUUCAGCUUCUAAUAUGUAUUAUGAUUAAUUUCUCGAUAUUUCAAAGUCAAUUUAAGCUUUUUAAAUACAUAAUUUUACGGAUAAACUAAUAGCAGUUUUCAAUGCAAUGCAUUUGUAUUGUUGCGACAAUGUUGCGAGAUGCAAACAAAUUUCAUACCAUGCCGUUCAUAUUUUCAUCUCGCUUUCAAAUCUCUGAUUCUGUCCUUUUCGAAUCUCAGAUUACAAUGGGGCAUCAGUUUGACAUGCACGCAUUUUUGACAGGAUAUAUGACGUCUGUCUAUUAAAUCCUCACCAGUCGAAUAUCUCCUCGUCACUUUUCGAUUACCGAAUCCGAGCGAUUUAAUACGCGAAUUUUGUCAGAGCCACCGGAUUAAUCUCGGAUUUCGUGUUUAGGCUACCAUAUGAGGGUGAAAGAGAGGAUCGAGUGGAUGGCUUUUAUGUAAAAUCGAGUGCUUCUAUGUCAAAUCUAAUGAAUGACAUUUAAUUCUUUUUGAAUUGCGAUUUGUUAGUUCAUGAAAUGAUAUAAAUUCAAUGAUAUUUUGACUAUGUAGAUAUUACAUUAUAUAUAAAAUAAUAAUAUCGAAUUAGGACGAAGUUUUUUGCAUAUAAUUAGAUCAAAAGUUAAAUGAAAAUUCUGAAAAACAAUUAAAUUGUAUGGCAAAGCUCUACAGAUUCUAUUAAACUCUGAUGCACAUUUGUACAUAUAUUUACGAAAUAAUUUUUGAUAAACAGUAAUUUAUUUUUACUUUGUACACAUAACAAUAUAAUUUUUGUAAAGAAAUUUGUAAGAAAUUAAAUUAAACUAAAAGCAAUUAAGUAUCAUAAUUAUCGUGGUGUAAUUACAUACGUGUUGUAGAUAGAUAAAUAAUUUUUGUUUGAGAAAACGCUUUAAGAAAAGUUAUUACAAUUUAAGGCUCAUACGUUUAAGGUUCACGUUUUAUAAUGAAAUAAUUAAUUACGGAGAUUAAUUAAUAAAAUAAUUCGUCUUUCAGAAUAAGCGAAUAACUGAUACGAUUAAACUUAACGAUUAGUAAACGAUGAUGAAGAUCUCUGAAAAUUGAAAUGGAUGUAGAACUUGAGAGAUCUUGUUGAAUAUUCAAGAAUCUUUGAUCAUUACACAUGUUAAACUCCUGAGUUUGGUUAUAAUAAAUUAAGCAAAUGUAUUAAGAGAAAGUUGCGGUGAAUGUUGAUGUAUGGCCGAACAUAUUGAACAGUUAAACCUACGUGACUAGAUAGACGCGGGUAUCGUCGCAUGUUAAUGAAAGCGUGUUCGUCAAUGUCCCAAUAGAACACGGGCAAAUGCGUAAGGUUCGAUUUCGACGAUUGACUAUCGGAAACGGAAACGGCGUUGUGAUUGCAUCCCGUUAGGAACGAUCGAAUUCAUUUCGUCUUAUCGACAACGUCAUUUAAAUGUUAUUCAUUAUUCAAGCUUCUGUUUGAAUUUUAUUACUUUCGGAAAGCCAAUAGUCGUUUCAAUCAAGUCAACGCUUCUUUCAACGUAUAAUGUCACGUCGUUCACAUUUCGGAUAUACAUAUAUGUACUCUUUAUUCGUAAAAAUUUAAACCAAAGUUUUAAAGUAUUUUCAAACAGUAUAUACAUAUUUACCUAUUUAAUUCCAUGACAUGACGCUGAUAUCGAUCGUUAAAUUAAGAACUAUCCGAAAGUUUUAUAUAUAAACUAUUCUUAUGUGUUUGAGCUUUUUAAAUAAAUUAAAUCAAAUUAUCUUAUUUUUAUCAACGUAGAUUAACUUUGAUUUCGGUUUAAUUCACUCUCUUUUAAAUUCUAAUAAUAAAGAAUAAACUGAAUUGAAAUUAAAGUUAAUUUACAUUUUGGAAAUGAACAUUAAAGAAAUAGAUGUACAAUUUGAAAAUAGUUUCCAUUAAAAUGAGAAUAAACCAGUGUAUUUUUUCCAUUUUAACGCAACUUCUUGAAUCAUUAAACGAAGUGAAUAUAAUAAGAGGUGAAAUUAUUUCUCUUCUGAAAUUACUAAUAUAAUUACAAUUGAAUUUUUUUAAGUCAAAGUUUAUUGCGUGUUAUUGAAAUUUUAUUUCGUUAAAAAAGUCAUCGCGCGAUUUGUUUUUUAUCUCAUCGAUUAAUACGGCCAUUUUUGUUACUUUAUCCGCACAACCACAGCGUAACGUCAUAUAUUUUCACAUUACACGAUAAAUUCUAAUCUACGUUAACCAGGCGUGUCUGGCACGUUACUGACUUCAUUACACUGUAAACAUUUGUUUCGCAUCACAUAUUAAUUAGACGCAGCUCCCUUGACGUUUUAUGUACAGCCGCAAAUUACGAUGCUAAGGAAGUUUCCCAAAUAAGCACAUUUUGCGGGUGAUAUAUCAAAAGCGCGUUUUCUGCUAAGAAUUUUACGACACGUCGACCAUCUGUGCACCUCUUUUUUAUGCAGCGACAAAAAACCGGUUGUAUCUUCUUUUACAACUUUUAUAAUAUAUAUGUAUAUUAAAUAACUUAUGUGUAAAAUACAAAAAAAAUAUUCGCACUGCAGAAACUAUAUUAAUGUAAAUAAAGUAUUAACAGGUAUGUCACAAAUGUUAUAAAAAAUUCAGUUUUGAAAUAAUCAGAAUAAACAGAAUAUAUCAAUUUUGAACGCCUCUAUCAACUAUAAAUAUCAUGCAAAGUUUAAUUGCAAAGCGACGCAUGAUAUUUUAUAUAAACGUUUUAUAUAAACAUUUAUAUAAACAUGUUUACGAUAACUCUGAAAUACAUUCCGUUUGACGAAAGUGUUAUCUAGCGCAAACUUAUAUUUAACUGUCGUAUAUUUCGUUUGAAAAUCUGUAAUGUCGAAUUUAGGUUUCAGAUAUAGUCGAGUAACAUUUUCCACAGUUACUAAAAUACCUGUAUACAGAGUUCGUGACAUACGUUUAUUUUUAAUAUUGUUAAAUAUUUUGUGUUAAUUUGCUGGAAUACUCGUGUCCACGUCAAAUGUGUCAUUUAUUUCUAUUUUACUUUUUUCGAAAAGCUAUUUCUUUUUUUUUUUUAUUAUACCCGGGACACUUUUCGAAAUAACAAGUUUAACGCGCGUGUCUCUUGCGCGGACCGAAGCUAUUACACGCCGCGUUUGGUGCUAAUUACAAACGACGAAGGGGGCGGGGCGCCUGCCCGCGUCGCCGUCGGAUGCUGCGCUCGCACUCCGCAUUCGUAAGCAACCGCGCGAUAACAAGUGCGCGAAAAUCGUUUCAAAGUGCGCGAGUACGCAGAAGACAAUAGCGGCAACGGUUGUCGAUCCUAUCUUAACCUCGUUCCCCGUAACCGGCGUAAAGGGCCGGUCAGAACUUUAGCGGCGGCAAAGUUGCCGGUCCCGCGGCCGGUUUACAAUUGUCCCUGUGAACGCGCGCGCUACAUGCAGCGGUUACAUCUACGCGCGGGCUGCUGCAGGUACAAUAUCGGGCCUUGCGGCACCGCACGUUGCGUUUGACACACCGCUUAUUAUCGGCCACAAGCGCAUAAUAAGCUCGUGGGCAAACUGUCCGGGCUUUACUUUCCGCCUGAGACGUAAGAUCCCGCGUGUGGUCCGUGAGACCACAUUGUGGAGAGUCAGAAACUGGUUUACACGAUUAUCGAUCUCUCUCUCCCGCGCGCCGCAUUAUGUGCAUUCGAUUAUGUAGAUUGUAGAGAGACGCGGCGAGGCGCGCGGGUUGUAAUCGAGUUCGUGACAAUUUCCCCGCUAAUAUUUUGCAUGCUAAUCUUUUUGUUUUCGCCAUCCCUUCGUUUCGCGGCGAUUGAUUUAUGUUACGCGCGUGAAGAUUUACACUGGACUUGUUUGAACUGCACGUUUACACGUAUGUAUAGCUUUCCCAAUAUGUGCACAAUAACGUGCGUUAUGAUUCAUUUACGUAUGUAAAAUUAUUUUUUUUUUGUCGACAAAUUUACCUAAUUAAAUAAAAAAAAAAUGUUAAAUCAAAUAAGUUGGAAUGUACGAAGCGUAUGUUGACUUCAAGUCCAUAGAAGAAAUUUACGUUUAAAUUUGUUGCAUUGUACCUGCUUCGUGCAUUUGUUAAUGCGACGUCCACAGGUAUAGUAAGGAAGUAAUUAAAUCUUUUCGAACGCACUUAAUGGAUACUCCUGUGUGAGCCAUGAGUUUCUUAUUACCUUUCCGAUAAUAAGUUAAUCCGUCUCAGCUUGAAAAUAGAUAGCACUCGACCGUAAUUAGGCAAUUAGAUGGUAAUUAGCGUAGCACUAAUCGUAAUUGCACCCGCAUUCUGUUCUGCUUCCAGGCUUCUCCUCCAGUCCGUAUGAACGGAAGGCACAUACGUACAUACUCCUGAAGAGCAGCGGCGGCUAAUAACAGAUCAACGUACCUCGCAACGUAAUUAACAACACCGCUGCGGCGCAUCGUAUCGAAUCAACACAUCGGUCAACGUAGCCGAUAACUCUGUUGGUGAUUCGCUUUAGUCGAAUAACAUUUAUUCUCGAGAACUCGGUUACUGAUCGAUUCAACAUACUGAUAACUGAACGUGUAAAUCACCGAUGAACGUGGUUCAUUGUGUCACGAAGUCUAACAUGGCGCGAGACCUCAGUACGUACCAUUAACAAAAAUGCAGGAGGACAGGCAAAAUGUAUACCUGAAGAGAAAAUGCAUUUUCAAAACAUAUAUCUGGAUGUCCGUUAAAACUAAAUCCACUAGACUUAAGAAAUGUAGGUAUUAAAAAAAGUUGAAAAAUACAACUUUUUUUUGUUCAUAUUAAAAUCAAUUUUUUUUUAUUUUUGUAAAGUUGGCGCUCUUGAAAAUGUAUUGCCAAGAGCAUUCAUAUCAAUAACGUAAAAUAACAGCAUUCAUAUCAGUAAUGUAAAAUAACAGUUAUUCAGUUUAUUAAAAUGGUAUGCAAGUAAAGAAACAUGCCAGAGAAUCUUAAAACAUCCAUACAGACCUUCGAUCGUUAUUUCCUUGAACAAAGAAACAUAUCUAUUUAUAACAAAAAUUAGUAAUAAAAUUAGUUCUAUGAACAAGAAAAGAAAUUCUUAUUAUCUUUUACGAACAUUUGUUCGCGAAUAAUUUACAAACUGUUAAUAAACAAUUUGCAAUUGGUUAUUAUUUUUUAUUUGUUUGAGUGCUGUUUACGAGUUUGUUACAAGUUCAUGAAGAGGUAAAACCGUUCUAAAAGCGGUAAGAUCAAAAGGAAUAAGAAAGCGAAAAGCUCAAAAGAAUAGCAUAUUUAGUUAAACUCAGUAGGAUACCAUAUAGGAACAUGCAUUAUUUAAACAGAUCAAGUAGUGCUUGCAAAAAACUCACUAAUAUCGCAAACUAUUAUUACUUACCCAUAGAUAUAUAUUUUUUUACAAAGAAUUAAAAUAAAUCUAGCCAAAUCCGAACUUUCUCUCAAUUUUUGUGAAUGUUUUGCAAUUACCGAUUAGGUAUCUUAUUUAGUCGUCGUUGUUGAUGACAUCAAAGGUGAUAAAUUCGUCCGAUAGCCGAUUGACCUUGCGCACGGUCAUUCAAUACUCUGUUAUUCACACGAGAAAAAUGGGGAAGAAAGGAAAAAUGGGAAGACUGAAGAAUGAGAGGAAUUGUAUAGAAAAAGAAUUUCCAAAGUACGGGACUCAUUAGUUGCGAGUCAAUUUUUUAAUCGCGAGAAAUUUUUGCAAUGAUAGGAAUUGAAAUUAAUAAAAAUUAUCAAACUUUUUAUACAAAAAGAAAUGAUUUGCAUUGACAUCAAAGCUGUCAUCAAUUUAAAUAAGAAAUAAGUACAUCCUUCAUAUCUUAUUAUGCAUUUGAGAAAAAUAAAUUUACAUAAAAACAGAUUUUUUAAAUUAUACUCUGAUAAUUAUGUAAUAACUUGUAAAUAUAUAUAUAAUAACAGAUUUUAUUAUAAUUAUAUAAUAAAAAAUUAAAAAAUAAGAAGAAUAAAGCAAUAUAAAUAGUCAAUUUAUUUUUCUUUUUUUUCUCUCGCUUUUUCAUGUCUCUUAAAAUUAAAUAGGCGUCGUUAUUUACUGCUUAUAAAAUAAGUUAUAGCCUAUAUUUGAGAAAGGUAAGUAUAGAGGCGGAACCAGAAAAGGAUUGACGUUGAAAAGAAGUUGAGAAGAAAAGAAGAAGAGUUCGGGAAAACGCGCAUAUGUUCGUACAAACUGACUUGCAGACUAUUACAGAUGUAGUAAACCGCCUGUUCUCUUUUUUCUUCUUGUCUGCCUUUGUUCACUAUUUUCCAUCCGAGUGCCAACCGCAGUUCUACUCAUUGCUAUCAGAAAGCACAUAGCGGAGCGAGUAUGGAUUAAUGAAUGAAAGGAAUCACAAUCUCCGUACAGAAUGCCUACUACGUCGAGUGAAGUAGCACGAAAGAAGGAUUCGAGAAGAAAACCGAUGCGAAGAAAUGGUUGGAUAAGAAGCGACUCGCCAGAGAUAACGAGCAAAAGCUGAUAAAUUUUUUAUGCAAUGUUGAAGGGGAUGGAGAUGAAUCUUUCAUGCAAAAUUGUCGCUCUCUAUAAGGGAAAGGACGCUUCUCUUCGUUCGAUGUUCUUCGAGCAUGUUGGAUGUUAAAGGAUUUAUUGUAAAGGACUGCAUAUCGAGAAAAAUUUGGACUUAUAUCAGGAAAUUCACAAUACCUGAAAAAAAUUGAGUUGAUUUUAUUAUAUUUUCUGGCACUUUCUAAAAAAAAUUAUAGGAGCAUGUAUUAACUUUCGUUUCUUAUUCACCAUUUGAAAUAAUGCUAUUAUAAUGCUACAAAAGAGAAAAAUAUGAAAAGAAAACUUUCUUUAAUACAUUUCCAGGAACUUUUAAAGCUUGUAUUGUACGUAAUGUAUAAAGUACUUUCCAUAUUCUUAGAGACAUUUUUGAAUAUAAUUAAUUAUUAUUUUAUUACUAAAAUAAUAAAUAAUACUGCUAGCAAUAAUAUAUACAUUUUUAAAAUUUAAGCAAAAUUAAGCAACGUUUAUUUUAAGCUAAAUGUAUUGUUAACAAUCCUGACAAAUAUUUUUUAUGCAAUCUUUUAUAUUUAAAAGAGAUAUUAUUUUACGAACAAAGAGUGCAUCUGGCAACAACGUUGCGGUCUAGAACAACGUUGCAGAUUUUAACCUAAAUGUAUUGCCAGUUUCUAUAUAAAAUCAUUGUUUUUAAAAAUGAUUAUUAUUUAUCAUUUUUUAAAACACAAUAAAGUAUUAAGAAUUUAAAACACAAUAAAGUAAUAAAUGGAACGAGUCGAACAAUUCUUAUUUCUACACCGAUAGGGAUAUUAAUGCUACAAAGAUUAUUAAAUAACGCGAGAUAACGCAUCUCUUGUGUAAUAAACAGGUGAAUAAAAGUCACAUUCCGUUGGAAUUAGGUCGCGAUGUCGUGACAGUUUUACGAUUUUUAAAAUUCAGAUCAGUUUUCAGAGUUCUCGUAUUUCAAUCGAAUGACUGUCAUCUUUAGAGGUAAAGUAUCGAGAUGCUUCCGAAUCGUAUCAUUCGUGUACAAAUUAUCGAGGAUUUAUCUCAAAUAUUAUUUCCUUCCGCACGUGUUCUAUCAUUGUUUAAAUAGACCUUUCAACCUAUGUCACUUUUACAACUUGAUUAUUGAAUCAAUAUUUGAAACCUCGCAAAAUAACGACAUGAUAUGAAUAUGCGAUAUUGAUACAAAUUUAAAGUGUAAUCUUUGUAGACAUUACAACAGGAAUCUUUCAAAGAUUUUCGAGUUUUUAUCAGUUAUUUAUCGAAAAUAAUCCUUGAAAAUUUUAUGUAAGAAAUAUAUACAUUUGUAUAUAAAUAAAAUAUGAUAUAUAUAAAAUAAAUAUAAUAAUAUAAUAUAAUAUAUAAUAUGUAUAAUAAUAUAUAAAUACAAUUUUAUUAUUUGUAUAAAUACAAACUAUAACAUAAUUUAUACGUAGCUAUUUUCCACAAAGCUUAAUUAAAGAAUUAAAAUUAGCUCUGCGACUACGUCAUUGUUUAACUUUGUAUAUAACUCAAAAUGUGUGCAG
rnacentral:lncRNA from 1 species